rnacentral:lncRNA from 1 species
GAGAGAGAGAGAGAGAGAGACCUAAAGUGCCCAAAGAAAUGGAAGAAUCCUCUUGUAGUGAGGUACCCUUUGGCUUUGGUCAUCCCUGCUCUUUGCUGCUCUACAUCGUAAGUGCCUGUGCUCGUUGCUUGGGCUGCUCCGUUUCUUCCGAUGACCCUCAGGAUCCUUCUACAGAAGAAGAGAAUGGCGAUGACUCCAUUGUAAUCUCUCUCUCUCUCUCUCUCUCUCUCUCUCUCUCUCUGCGUCACUCUGCACAUCAUCUAGUAGUUUAUUACUUGGUGCCUAUCUAAUCUUGAAUCAUGAAUUAUCUGAGAUACAAAUGCAGGAAGAAGGAGCCGAUGUAAAGACCGCUAUGGCUUCAAGAAGGCCAAGAAGGCCACGCCCAAGUGAAGGUCGAGGAGGCCAGAUUAACUGAGAGUAGCUUUGCUUCUAGCCCCUCAAGUUUCAGGCUUCAUUUUGGACUCCAUCUACACUUUUGUUAACCCUCACCAAGAUCGUCUUGUAUGUCUCCAGUCUGCACAUUUAGCUGGAAAUUGAUCUUGUAUGAUUUAAAUGCUUGUCCUUUAUUCUAUCACGGCAUUACUACCAUGUCAUGAAGACCUACGCCCAAGAUUCAAAUAUCAAGAGUUUUAAGACACAAAUGCAUUAGGGAUCGUAGAAAAAUCUUCGUUCUAUGGAUUUGCGGUGCAUCCUCCUGUGGGAUAGAAUUGACAGACGAGCUCGACUGUUUGGGUGCCUCUGGAAAGAACUGUUGAUACCUUUUGGUUUUAUUUCCACUCGAUUACUUCUGGCUUGUAAAUUUCGUAUUGUUUCUAUUGCGUUGUCUUUCACAUUGCUCUUUCUUCCCGGAUUCACACCGUCACAACAGGAAGUAUUUAUGUGAGGGUGACCUGUGGAAUGGGUAGCAAUUCUAAAGCUGAAGUUGAGUCGGGAAGGAGAGACGGACGUCUUAGGUCACAACUCAUCUGUCCUCCUCAGGAGGAGAGAGCUGCUCCCUUACGCAGUAGACCUCCCCAAUUAAUAUCUCUGCUUCCGAC